rnacentral:misc_RNA from 1 species
UCUCCGUAGGUGAACCUGCGGAGGGAUCAUUACAGAGUUUUUGCCCGCAAGGGUAGAUCUCCCACCUUAUGUUAUUCCUUCUCUGUUGCUUUGGCGGGCCGUCCGGCCUCGGUCAGGCCACCGGCUCCGGCUGGUGCGCGCCCGCCAGAGGACCCCAAACCCUAAAUGUCAGUGUCGUCUGAGUACUAUAUAAUAGUUAAAACUUUCAACAACGGAUCUCUUGGUUCUG